rnacentral:rRNA from 1 species
UACAGAGGUCUCAAGCGUUGUUCGGAUUCAUUGGGCGUAAAGGGUGCGUAGGUGGCAUGGUAAGUCGGAUGUGAAAUCCCGGGGCUCAACCCCGGAACUGCAUUCGAUACUGCUGCGCUAGAGUACUGGAGAGGAGACUGGAAUUCCUGGUGUAGCAGUGAAAUGCGUAGAUAUCAGGAGGAAUACCGAUGGCGAAGGCAGGUCUCUGGGCUGACACUGACGCUCAUGCACGAAAGCGUGGGGAGCAAACAGG